UACGUAGGUGGCAAGCGUUGUCCGGAUUUAUUGGGUUUAAAGGGUGCGUAGGCGGUCCUAUAAGUCAGUGGUGAAAUACGGCAGCUUAACUGUCGAGGUGCCAUUGAUACUGUAGGACUAGAGUACUGUUGAGGUAGGCGGAAUGGACGGUGUAGCGGUGAAAUGCUUAGAUAUCGUCCAGAACACCGAUAGCGAAGGCAGCUUACUAAAGAGUAACUGACGCUGAGGCACGAAAGUGUGGGGAUCAAACAGG
rnacentral:rRNA from 1 species